rnacentral:sRNA from 1 species
CGCGGCGCACAUGCCUUCACACGAGGAAGUGCAAACCGUUAGACAGAGCACCCACCUGCUUUAAUUGAUAGCGGGUUCAAAGGAAGGGAAUCCUAAACGGUACGAUUGGGGUUUCU